UGGGGAAUAUUGCACAAUGGGCGAAAGCCUGAUGCAGCGACGCCGCGUGAGGGAUGACGGCCUUCGGGUUGUAAACCUCUUUCAGCAGGGACGAAGCGCAAGUGACGGUACCUGCAGAAGAAGCACCGGCUAACUACGUGCCAGCAGCCGCGGUAAUACGUAGGGUGCAAGCGUUGUCCGGAAUUACUGGGCGUAAAGAGUUCGUAGGCGGUUUGUCGCGUCGUUUGUGAAAACCAGCAGCUCAACUGCUGGCUUGCAGGCGAUACGGGCAGACUUGAGUACUGCAGGGGAGACUGGAAUUCCUGGUGUAGCGGUGAAAUGCGCAGAUAUCAGGAGGAACACCGGUGGCGAAGGCGGGGCUCUGGGCAGUAACUGACGCUGAGGAACGAAAGCGUGGGUAGCGAACAGG
rnacentral:rRNA from 1 species